rnacentral:rRNA from 1 species
ACCUGACCUCGGAUCAGACGUGAAUACCCGCUGAACUUAAGCAUAUCACUAAGCGGAGGAAAAGAAACUAACAAGGAUUCCCUCAGUAACGGCGAGUGAACAGGGAAAAGCCCAGCACCGAAGCCUGUGGUCAUUUGGCCUCUAGGCACUGUGGUGUUUAGGUCUACUCGCGGGAGUGCUGUCCCACUCUAAGUCCAGCAGUGAGUACGGCUUCUGUGACUUGGCCCAAAGAGGGUGAAAGGCCCGUGAGGGUGGGAUUCAGACAAGUCAGCGCUUCCCAUGGGUAAACCUUGGAGUCGGGUUGUUUGUGAAUGCAGCCCAAAGUGGGUGGUAAACUCCAUCCAAGGCUAAAUACUUACACGAGUCCGAUAGCGAACAAGUACCGUGAGGGAAAGUUGAAAAGUACUUUGAAGAGAGAGUAAACAGUGCGUGAAACCGCUCACAGGUAAACGGGUGGAGUUGAACUGCAAGUCAUGAGAAUUCAGCUGAUAAAACUGACGUGAUCUUGGUCACGUGUGUUCACCCAGAGUCUGCGUAGCUGCAGGUCCUGCUCCUCGGAGUGGGGUGUGCGAUGCACUUGUCAAGUGUUGUGCGCUCUGGUAAAUCUAUAGAACGCUUUCGUCAGUGCAUUUUCUCAUGGUGUUCACCACGACCGGCGUCUUGUCUGUCUACUGUUAUCAAACCGAAUCCGUAUCAUCCUUGUGAUUUUAUGGUUUCGGGACGGCAGGUAGCCCGUUUGCAUUUAUGCACUCUGGUGUAAUCAGCUGGUAGCAGUAGUCUUGUGCAGGAUGUCGGAGACGGCGGCUUUUUGGGUGCUUCUGCACGUCCAUCUUUUCAGCGGCUGUGGAUUUGGUUAUCAUGUGCAUGUUAAUGCAUGCCUGGUGAUGGUCCAUGGUUGUGUGAAUUGAGAUUGUGUGGAGCGCCGUACAGGGCCUAUAGUCUGUGGUGUAGUGGUAGACGUUCCACCCGACCCGUCUUGAAACACGGACCAAGGAGAGUAACAUGUAUGCGAGUCAUUGGGCAUUACGAAACCCAAAGGCGUAGUGAAAGUAAAGGUCUAACUCGUUUUAGACUGAGGUGAGAUUCAGCCGUUUCUCAUGUGCGGUACUACCAAGCAAUCGAGCGGUUGACGCAUCACCGGCCCGUCCCAUGG